rnacentral:rRNA from 1 species
AACGAACGCUGGCGGCAUGCCUAACACAUGCAAGUCGAACGCCCCGCAAGGGGAGUGGCGAACGGGUGAGUAACGCGUGGGAACCUACCCAGCAGUUGGGGAUAACCGCGGGAAACUGCGGCUAAUACCGAAUACAUCCUAAGGGAGAAAGAUUUAUCGCUGUUGGAGGGGCCCGCGUCGGAUUAGCUAGUUGGUGAGGUAACGGCUCACCAAGGCGACGAUCCGUAGCUGGUCUGAGAGGAUGAUCAGCCACACUGGGACUUAGACACGGCCCAGACUCCUACGGGAGGCAGCAGUGGGGAAUAUUGGACAAUGGGGGCAACCCUGAUCCAGCAAUGCCGCGUGAGUGAUGAAGGCCUUAGGGUUGUAAAGCUCUUUUACCGGGGACGAUGAUGACGGUACCCGGAGAAUAAGCCCCGGCUAACUUCGUGCCAGCAGCCGCCGUAACAC